GGAUAACACUUUUUGCUAUCUCCGACCAAUAACGCAGUGACACGUAGGAUAACUUUUCCACGUGUCAUUGUGUUAUUGGCCGGAGAUAGCAAAACAGUGUUAUCC
rfam:Prunus persica cultivar Lovell chromosome G6, whole genome shotgun sequence.